AUGGAAGAUUUCAUCCCCGUCAACCAAAAAACAGAACACCAAGAACAUGGGAAUACAGGGCGGCCGUGGGAAGAAACGGUAACUACUUCCCAAGAUCCUGAGCUUGGGUUAUCCGAAGCCCUAGAGUUGGAGCAGGGGCCAGAAACUGGACUCCAGACCAGGAGCAGCCCUCCUAGAAUGCCCCUCUCUGGAGCCAGAACGCCGGAUCGACCUGCGGAUGACCUCGUAGGACCACGCUCAUCAUUUCCAUCUUCCUCAUCUCAGGAGCUCCCUUCCACUCUUUCUCCCCUGGCUCUGGCCAGGCAGGACUUUAUGGCACCAUGGCAGUCAGACAAGACCAUUAGUGUUAUUUCUGAAGCUGAGACACCUCAUUUUGGCCAUUUGGAACAAUUAUCUGAUAAAGGUGGAUCAACUCCUCAUCAAACAUGUCAGUCAAAGGGAAACAACUUUCAUCAGUCUCAGCAAACUAAAUAUCCCCUGUAUGAACUGAGGGAUGUGAGCGACCACACCUCUAAACAGAAAGAGCUGAGAUUUGACAUUUUUCAAGAAGACGACUCAAACAGUAACUAUCAUCUAGAUCAGCCUGAGUCUGGGGCUUCUGAAGUGGCCCCCAGCGUGCUUGAGAUUGCCGUUCAAAAUACUAAGGCUUACCUACUGAAGACCAGUAGCAAGUCGGGCUUAAAUCUAUAUGAUCAUCUUUCUGAAAUGCUGACCAAGGUCUUAGAUAAGCGUCCUGAAAAUGCUGUGGACAUCAUUGAAAAUAUUAGCCAAGAUGUCAAGAUGGAACAUUUUAGUAAAAAAUUAGAUACACUCCAAAAUGAGAAUGAGAUGCUUCCAACCUAUGAAAUGGCAGAGAAACAGAAAACUCUUUUUCUUCAGGGAAAUUUAGAAGGAGCUGACCAAGAACUGGAAGAUGAAAUAGCAGAACAUGCUCUUCCAAACAUAAUGGAAUCAGCUUUUUAUUUUGAACAAGCUGGAGUUGGUUUGGGCACAGAUGAGACUUACCGCAUAUUUCUUGCCCUCAAGCAGCUUACUGACACCCACCCAAUCCAAAAAUGUCGUUUCUGGGGCAAGAUCUUAGGUCUGGAAAUGAAUUAUAUUGUAGCUGAAGUGGAAUUCCGUGAGGGAGAAGAUGAAGAGGAGGUGGAAGAGGAAGACGUACCUGAAGAGAGGGACAAUGGAGAUAGUGAAGCUGAUGAAGACGAUGCAGAUGAAUUACCAAGGCCCUUUUACAAGGCCCCACAGGCUAUUCCAAAAGAAGAAAGCAGAACAGGUGCCAACAAAUAUGUCUAUUUUGUUUGCAAUGAACCAGGAAGACCAUGGGUGAAGUUACCAGCAGUGACACCUGCGCAAAUCGUUAUUGCAAGAAAAAUCAAGAAGUUUUUCACUGGGCGAUUGGAUACUCCCAUUAUAAGCUACCCACCCUUCCCAGGAAAUGAGAGUAAUUACUUACGAGCACAAAUUGCCAGAAUUUCAGCAGGGACCCAUGUCAGCCCUCUAGGAUUCUAUCAUUUUGGUGAGGAAGAAGGAGAAGAGGAAGAAGAAAUAGAAAGUGGGCGAGAUAGCUUUGAAGAAAACCCUGAUUUUGAAGGCAUCCAAGUGAUUGAUCUGGUGGAAUCCCUAUCCAAUUGGGUUCAUCAUGUACAACAUAUCCUCCCUCAGAGAUCCAGAAUACAUCGCCUUGGACAACACGGUUAUCCUCAAAUCUCAUUCCUCAAUAUGCGAUUGCAGUCCUUAGAUCCAACCUUUGGCCUGGAGCAUACGCCUUUUCCAAUGGCAAAAAGUUUGAAAAUUUCUACAUAGGCUGGGGUCAUAAAUACAGUCCAGACAGCUAUACACCUCCAGUUCCCCCAGCUGUUUAUCAAGAGUACCCCAGUGGACCAGAAAUUACGGAAAUGGAUGAUCCUACUGUGGAGGAGGAGCAGGCCUUCAGGGCUGCACAAGAAGCAGCAGCAAAUUCAACAGAGGAGAAUGAAGAAACUGAGGAAGAGGAAGAUGAUUAUGACUAA
rnacentral:lncRNA from 1 species